GCCGGGCUCUCAGUUGGUAAGAGCAUGAGACUCUUAAUACCAGGGUCGUGGGUUCAAGCCCCAUGCUGGGCA